rnacentral:rRNA from 1 species
CCUACGGGAGGCAGCAGUAGGGAAUAUUGCUCAAUGGGGGAAACCCUGAAGCAGCAAAGCCGCGUGGAGGAUGAAGGUUUUAGGAUUGUAAAAUCCUUUUGUUAGAGAAGAUAAUGACGGUAUCUAACGAAUAAGCACCGGCUAACUCCGUGACAGCAGCCGCGGUAAUACGGAGGGUGCAAGCGUUACUCGGAAUAACUGGGCGUAAAGAGCGCGUAGGCGGGAUAGCAAGUCAGAUGUGAAAUCCUAGGGCUUAACCAUAGAACUGCAUUUGAAACUGUUAUUCUAGAGUAUGGGAGAGGUAGGUGGAAUUCUUGGUGUAGGGGUAAAAUCCGUAGAGAUCAAGAGGAAUACUCAUUGCGAAGGCGACCUGCUAGAACAUAACUGACGCUGAUGCGCGAAAGCGUGGGGAGCAAACAGGAUUAGAUACCCCAGUAGUC